AGGUGUAGCACCGGUUCAUGAAACACUGAACACCUGAGAUGAGUGUGGCAGCUUUAUUGAGCAAUGUUUUGGACGCGGGUUCGACUCCCGCCAUCUCCA
rnacentral:tRNA from 1 species